AGUUCAAAUCGUGUGUCUUUACGUUUAGCCAUCUUUAGUGUGAUGUUAAAAUGCUUAAUUACUUUAUACAUUGAAUGCAACGAAUUAAAGUAAACUUGUUGUUCCUGUGCCUUAUCAGGUUGUAUGUAUUCAAUAACCAGUACUAGAUUUGCAAGCGAAUUGUCAAAUUCUAAAGACAAAAAUUUGUUCUCAUUUAAUUUUUUUUCAAAGGAAGGAUAACUUUCUUGAGGUCUGAAGAGCCAGGCAAUCCAUCCGGGAAGCCCUCCUGAGCAGGCUUGUGAGGAACUUUUUGAGGACCUGAAGUGGAAAAUUUGGCCACAUGGUAAUUAUUGCCAACCAAGGAACCCUGCCAAGCUUUAGAGGAUACCAAUGUUCCAGGCCAGGCAGAAGACCCUGUGCAAAAGUAAAUCUUCAAGGGAAGGCUGGAAAUACUUCUUAACGAAUUAUGCAUCUAUCAAGUUUCUCCUGUUUCUCCCCAGUCUGUUUUCAGAUAUCUACGAGUUAAUUUCUGGGGUGUAUUGGGGAAAGGUCUCAAGUGUGACAGAGAAGGCAGAAAUUCACCAGCAAAUCCAAACUGGGGAAAUCCCAGAGUUGAAGAGAAGAAACUUAAAGAAAGAAAAUCUUACAAAAAGAAACAUGCUUGGGGAUACUCUUGUUUGCUGGUAAAAUGAUCUGUAGAAAUUCUGAGAUAAGGGGUGUUAAAAGUAAGAAAAUGCAGGCAUAGUUAAUUAUCAGACUAUCAACUUUCCCCUUGUCUAACGGGAGCCAAAGAAUGGUGUUUCAAUGCCCAGCUUCUAGAUGAAAUAUGUAUUAGCAAACUGUUCUUUUAUAUCCCUUUAUUUUUGGAAUAUAUAAGGCCUUUAUAUUCCUUUAUUUUUGUUUUCAAAAAUUCCUAUGACAAUAUUCUGGUAUCCAUGCCACAUGAGGAUACAUUUCAUGCCAAAACCAGUUUAGGAAAUCUGCAGAUUAAAGGAGGAAUGUAUGCUGCAGCUGAGAGCAGACACUUCUAAGGCAUCUUGCAAGGGUAAGUUUAGAGUGGCAUACUCUUUGAAUACUGUCUGAGCAUCGACAAGAUUCAGAUAGACGCUGCAAACAAUGGAGUGUUGUGAAUUGUGUACAUCUCUAGAAGUAAUUUGGUGGCAUAUAGUUAACACAAUCCAUCCAUAUUUGAGCAAACCCAAGCAAUUUAUAUUUCCUGGAUGUCAGCUUGAACAGGAGCUUAGAAGGAUGGUGAUGCUUCAGUCUCAUUUUAGAUAAAAAUAAUGGAUAAUCAUGUAUUUACACAGUAAUUUAUGUCAGAAGUAUGUCAAGUAUGAAAAUAGGACCUUUAUACAUUACUGUUGAGAGCAUAAAUGGUUACUAACUUCCAUGAAGGGCAAUUUGGAAAUGUAUAUACAAAAGCUUAGAAAUACUCAUGAUCUUCGAAUCGUCAAUUUUCCAAUAAAAUAAAAAGAUAAAUGUUCAGGGUGAUAUAGCUUAUUUAUUAUGUUAUCACUGUGCUUACAAUAAGGAAAAUCUGGAAAGAGCCUAUAGAAGCAGAAGUAGAGGAAUUUUUAAUAUGAUUUAUUCACACAAUAGAAUAUUUUGCAGUGUCUAUAAUGAUAAAAAUUUAUGAUUAUUGACAUGGAAAUAUAUUUUUAAAUUAUAAAAUAAGACUACAAAAUAAUAUUUAAAACAUUAUCUCAUUCUGUAACAAUGUAUUAUUUGUUUGCUGGUAUCUAUGAAUAAAAUGUCUCUCAGAUAAUUGAAUUACAUCUUAAGCUUUGUCAUUGACUUAAACUUAUGUGUUUCCUAUUCUUUCCCAUCACAAAAGUUUGUGACUACAACGUCAUAUAAGACUCUAUUGUUAAAAAAAGACUUUUACGCAUAUCUAAGUUUACAAUUAGAAUUUUGAUUUUCACUACCACCUUCUCAAAAUAAUUCAAAGUUCUCAAAAAUCCAAUUAAAGUUCAUAAUUUACUAUUAUAUAUUUCUCUUAGGAAACACAUGUUUUUCCGUGUUGAAUUGGAUAAAAUGGUUAACGCAUGGGGUUCACGGACUUCUGCCUCCCCUUUUGCCUUCUUUUUUUUUUUUUUUUUCUCACUUCCAUCCUGAGAAGAAACAAAAUUUCAUGAAUGGAUGAAGAAAGUAGAGAGGGAUUCAGAACAAAUAAAUUUUCUUCCUAAUUCCAAGCACCAGGAAGUCAGGAAGUAUCCUGAGUGUAUUACGAGAAACUGCACUUUGGAGUAGCAGUGGAGAAGGAGGACCAAAGUGUAAGAAAAGGUGAGAUGAGUGAGAAAAUUCUUCCUAGAUAAGAAGGAGGUGCCUGAGAAUUUGUGGCGACUUACGUUAAUAACAUUUGCUGUAGUCUAAGUAUUUGCAGCUCCUUAAAAAUAGAGAGGGACACGAAUGAAGAUUAAUGUGUUCAUUUUUGGGUUAGAGUCUAUAUGUGAGACACUGCUUCUGGAUAGGACUUAGGAGUGACAGCUUUCUAAACAUUAUUUGUGUAUCUAGAGAAUUCUGUCCACAUGCUCUCAUCAGACGAAUUCUUGCUUUUGUGCUUUUGAUCACUUCUUGAAACUCUAUUCUGUGUCAAAAGAGGAACAACAGUUUGUCUAUUCCUAAAUCAAUCCCCCCAAAAAUACAGACUAGGGCUUUAUAAUCAAUUGUGAAAUAUCUUGUUUCCUCCCAAGAUCAUAUUAAAGAUUUGUUUUCAGUUCUUUAAUUGCAGUUUUUAGUGACCAUGAUAAGCUUCACUAAAAUAAACAUUAGGAAGUAAAAUAAUAAUUUAUAAAGGAACUAUCUAGAAAAAUAUGUAGGUGUUCUCCACACAUGAAAUUUAGGAAAACAGGAUGGAUUCAGAGAUGAAAGGAAUGACAUAUUGUCUUUCUUGCUAACAUAGAUUCUUAAUUACCCUAUAGAUUGCAUCUGCAGUCUCAGGAAAUAUUAAAGCCCAUUUUAAUCUAGAUAAGUCAUCAUAUAGCCUUUGUAAAUAUAAAGCCCAAAUAUCACAAUGCUUUGUUCAAGCUGAAACCUAAUAUGUAUGAAAAUUAAACUCUGUUACAGUACAUGAGGGUUUCAUAAAAUAUUUAUGACCAGA
ensembl:lincRNA